rnacentral:rRNA from 1 species
GUCCUUGCCUUAAACGAUGCAUACUUGGUGUAAGAGGGCUCAACCCCUUUUUGUAUCGGAGCUAACGCGUUAAGUAUGCCGCCUGAGGAGUACGCUCGCAAGGGUGAAACUCAAAAGAAUUGACGGGGGCCCGCACAAGCAGUGGAGCAUGUGGUUUAAUUCGAUGCAACGCGAAGAACCUUACCCAGGCUCGAAAUGAAGAGGGCGAGGUUAGAGAUAACCUUUUCCGCAAGGACUUCUUUAUAGGUGCUGCAUGGCUGUCGU